CUGGGUCAAUCGUAGUAGCCCAAAGGGUGAACUAUGACCCUUACGAAAGGAGAAAUACUUCCCGUGAUGAAAGUCCAAAACUACCCUUUGAUAUUUUGACACGAACGCCGCCGGAGUACCCGUGCGUGCAUGGCGAGAGAUGCAUCUUACCUCGUUUCAUGUGUCACGAAUUAAGCAGAUUAGACGAUGCCCUACAAGACAUCUGUACGGAGGGUGAAUAAUUUUUAUGAGUAGA
ncrna:unclassified sequences RT-2 RNA